rnacentral:lncRNA from 1 species
AUUAAUUGACAGUUCAUAGGUCGGAAAUUCUGAAGUACUCAAUUAUCGGGCAAAAGUCAAAAUAUGAAUGCUGAAGGCUAAAGAAGUUUGGUGCCUCGUGAAGGGUUUUGAUGAACAGAACAAUGAAUGGAAGCGAGAGGAAGAGAUGAUACAGAGAGUAAAGUCGUAUAUUAUUCAAUGAGUGCUCAGUUUACAAUGAACUACUUCUCUUUUCUUCUUGCUCUUCUCUUAUCAGCUUUUAUAUCAGCUGAAGAGCUUCAACCGAAUGAAACUAACUAGCUUAACAGAACUAACUAACUAACUGAAGUAAAGAACAGAGUUUGACUUUACAAAUUGAAAAUUGAAAACUGAUUUUUCAAUGGUAAAUCAAUUUUACGAAUACUGUAAUCUCUGUUGUUGAUUUCUUUCUUUCCUUUGUUUUCAUCAGCUUUCUUAUUGCUGCUAUUGAACUCACUUUCGCCUUCUUUCUUUCCUCUGUUCUUGAAGUCUUCUUUCUCUUUCCUCUGUUUCUAUCAGCACCCAUAUCUUGUGUUAUACUCUUAACACCUCGAAUGCAACCGACAACGGCUUACCCCUAAAGCUUUCAGCAGUCUUACGAUGGAUGUCAACAAAAUACUGGGAAUCGACAAGCAUGCCAUCAGUCUUGUUUUAAAGGUCGGCGACAUCAGAUACAUAUUCUCGAGAAUAUGAGAAAACUGAGUCGAGAGGCAUUGACUCAUCAACUUGAUACUCGCUUAGCUAAUCUUUGAGUACGACUGAUCUUGAUUAACAUAAUCAAGUUGGAACAAGACGAAGAUCCUCAAUUGGAGAAAUUGCAGGACAAGCAAAUUUUACUAUCUAAGUGGACAGGUCCGAUUUGUGGUCGGCCAUAUGUUCCUAAUGAUUCAUAGUAGAAAAAGCAGGGUGCCCACAACACCAGAUUCCCAAUUUAUCCCGGGGCACUAGAAUUUAUAGGGAUUUGAGAAAAUACUCCUAGUGGAUUUAUGUGAAAAAUGAUGUCAACAAGUAAAAAGUGAGCAUCGAAAACCAGUUGGAG